CGAGUGAAGUGGGAAAAGCUCAACUUUGAAAUCUGGCUGCUUUGCAGUCCGAGUUGUAGUUUCGAGAAGUGUUUUCCGCGGCAAUCCAUGUAUGAGUCUGUUGGAACACAGCGUCAUAGAGGGUGAGAACCCCGUUCAUGGCAUGGCUAUUGUUGCUUUGUGAUACACUUUCGACGAGUCGAGUUGUUUGGGAAUGCAGCUCAAAUUGGGUGGUAAAUUCCAUCUAAAGCUAAAUAUUGGCGAGAGACCGAUAGCAAACAAGUACCGUGAGGGAAAGAUGAAAAGCACUUUGGAAAGAGAGUUAAAAGUACGUGAAAUUGUCGAAAGGGAAACGAUUGAAGUCAGACGUGCAUGGUACUCGUUACCUUUGCAGGCCAACAUCGGUUUUGCGAGUCGGAUAAAGGUAGAGGAAAGGUAGCAGUCUAGGCUGUGUUAUAGUCCUCUACUGAAUACGGAUUGUGAGACCGAGGGACGCAGUGCGCCGCAAGGCAAAGGGUCCGCCCUUUACGCACUUAGG
rnacentral:rRNA from 1 species